rnacentral:rRNA from 1 species
CCUACGGGAGGCAGCAGUGAGGAAUAUUGGUCAAUGGUCGGGAGACUGAACCAGCCAAGCCGCGUGAGGGAGGAAGGUACAGAGUAUCGUAAACCUCUUUUGUCAGGGAACAAAGGCGGGGACGUGUCCCCGGAUGAGUGUACCUGAAGAAAAAGCAUCGGCUAACUCCGUGCCAGCAGCCGCGGUAAUACGGAGGAUGCGAGCGUUAUCCGGAUUUAUUGGGUUUAAAGGGUGCGCAGGCGGUCUGUUAAGUCAGCGGUCAAAGCCCGGGGCUCAACCCCGGCCCGCCGUUGAAACUGGCAGUCUCGAGUUGGAGAGAAGUAUGCGGAAUGCGCGGUGUAGCGGUGAAAGGCAUAGAGAUCGCGCAGAACUCCGAUUGCGAAGGCAGCAUGCCGGCUCCACACUGACGCUGAGGCACGAAAGCGUGGGUAUCGAACAGGAUUAGAUACCCCAGUAGUC